rnacentral:lncRNA from 13 species
UUCUUAAAAGAAGGAACUAAAAGUGAAUGUCCUCCCCCUUCUUCUGGACAUAGUCCUGUUCAGAUGUGACACUCACAACUGUUGCAACCAUCCUGUAGACGUGGGAGGAGAAGGUCCAAGGACAGCCCAGAGUCUUCCAAUGGUGGAGCAGAGGGAGUAUUGCUCUAUUCCUGAGGCUGGAGUUCAGUGGUGCAAUCUCGACUCCGCAGCAUUUAUCUCCCAGGCUCAAGUGAUCCUUCUAUUUCAGUCUCUCUGGUAGCUGGGAUUAUAGGUAUGUGGCACCUUGGUCAGCUAAUUUUUAAAAAUUUUUGUUGAGAUGGGGUCUCACUAUAUUUCCCAAGCUAAUUCUCUCACUUUUUUUUUUUAACAUGGCUCUUUUUCCACGGUGCUGCUCAGCCUUCAAUCAAAUGAAAUAAUGGAUUUUGCUGGAAACACAGUUCUUGUGAGAGGAUGUCUUACAUUCAGCUCUAUGUAAGAUGACCAGCAUGACCAGCUUGUUCACUCUUCGCUCUUUUCUUUUCUUUCCCACUACUCUGUGAGGCAAAACAGCAUUUACUAUGGCACUGAUGACAUAUCCUGAAGAUUGAGUUUGAGACUAUUUUUCCAAGGCCUGAAAAAAACCUACCAUUGUAGAAAUCCUUUCAACUUUUAACAUAAUUUUAUUCUGAGUAAUCAAAUUCUGAGUUAAUCUGAGUAAUCAAAUUCUGAGUUAAAGUUGGUAGAGAAUUUUAAAGAGCAGAGAGCUGGCAGGUUAUAUUGUUUUAAAUACAGUAUUUAUAUAUCUGAUAUACACAUAGAUAGGCUAAAGAAUUGCCUGUCUACAAAUCAUGUACAUUAUUAUUGCUUAUUAUAGAUUUAAUGCAAAUGUGUUUAGUAACAUUUUUUAAAAUAUUUAUCUAAAUUUGGAAUAUUAAACAGCUUUAGAAUAUUUUCAUUUUCAUCUAUUCUAUUGGUUGUUAUGGAAAUACAUCUAAGUUAAGAUGAACAAACAUAAGAUAUGUUAUUUAAUUCUCAUUAUAAACAUUACUUCAAAGUUUAAAAUUUCUCAUGUAACACCUAUUAGAUUUUUGGGAUUUCCUGAGGUGUACUUGUAAGUCUAUUCAUAUCUACUGGGCUUAUGACUCAAAGAGAAGUCAAAUAAGGAAUAAGCUCCAAAAAUAAGUAUGUGUUAGUGGAGGAUAACACAUACCAUCCUAACUUUGUUUCUUCUGCAUAAUAUGCUAACUUUUCAGUAUUUUUUCAUAAUUUUUUUAAAUUUUCAUAACCUAAUUCUUUUUAGUUUUGACUCAUAUAUACAUACAUGGUUCUUUGUAUGUGUGAGAAUGUUAUUAAUUCUAUAGCUCUUAAAUUUAAAUGUUUUUCUUUUAAAAAAUAAAGUUCAUCCUCAAUUUUUAUUUAUUAGGUGU